CUUCAUCCCAUCGCCUGAUAACUCCUAUGGGAACAAGAGACCAGACGGUACAUGGACUGGCAUGGUGGGGCAAGUCUACAGAGGGGAGGUGGAUAUCGGCCUUGGCCCAUUCACUGUGACAACUGAUCGUGCAACGGCAGUUGAUUUCACCUAUCCCGUGGAGGUAACCUCUGGUAGGAUACUGGCUGGACAGAAGAAACUGGAGGUGGACCCUUGGGGCUUUGCGCUGCCACUCAGCCCCGAAGUGUGGAUAGUGACUUUCAUCUCGCUUCUUAUUCUGCCGGGAAUCAUAUGUCUACUUAUAUUUCUCUUCAUUAAUAAGAAACAAAUAAUUAGUCAGUGGAAGAAACAACAGUUUGGCUUCCUCAUGAUGUUUCUGCAAGAAAGCAUCACAAUUGGACACGAGACAUGGUGGUGGGAGCGGAUGGUGGUAGGCAUUUGGCUGCUGACAACUCUGGUACUAAGGCGGAGCUACGAAGGUAACCUGAUGUCUCUUCUGGCAGUAAGACACAUACCUCAGCCCUACCAGAGCCUGAGAGCUGUCCUCAAUGACCCAUCUUCCACCAUGAUCUGGAAGAAAGGAAGUUCAUUCAUGGAGCUU